AUGAUCUUCCUCACCCUGAAUGAAGCAGAGGAGAGUCCAGAUGAGGACUUUGUAUCACUGUGGUACACGUUUGGUGGAGGAACCAGACUGGAGGUUGGAGGUGAUGUCCGUCCCACCCUGAGAGUGCUGUCCCCCUCCAUGGAUCAGGGGAACGCCACACUCCUGUGUCUGGCCAACAAUGGGUUCCCUUCAGGCUGGACUCUGUCCUGGAAGGUGGACGGAAGUGGCAGCAGCAGCAGCAGCAGCCCCGGGGUGCUGCAGAAGGACGGCCUCUACAGCUGGAGCAGCACCCUGAGGCUCUCUGCAGACCAGUGGGAGAAGGUGGACUCUGUGACCUGUGAGGCCACCCAGGACUCCCAGACUCCAGUCUCAGAGACUCUGAGGAGAAACACCUGUUCCUAGUCACCACCUCAAUGACUUGCUUUUGCUUUUACUAAGUUUUCUGCUGGAUUGAUAUUGUCCAUUUUCUUUCUUUCAUGUGCUAUCAAAGUAUUUGUAUUAAAUGUUGAUUAUUUGAUGCUUUCUGCAAAAUAAAAUGACUUUUC